CCAAGGGUUCCUGUCCAACGUUAAUCGGGGCAGGGUAAGUCGACCCCUAAGGCGAGGCCGAAAGGCGUAGUCGAUGGGAAACGGGUUAAUAUUCCCGUACUUCUUACAAUUGCGAUGGGGGGACGGAGAAGGCUAGGUGGGCCUGGCGACGGUUGUCCAGGUUCAAGUGCGUAGGCUUGAGAGUUAGGUAAAUCCGGCUCUUUUUAAGGCUGAGACACGACGUCGAGCMWCUACGGWKGUGAAGUCAUUGAUGCCAUGCUUCCAGGAAAAGCCUCUAAGCUUCAGAUUGUAAGGAAUCGUACCCCAAACCGACACAGGUGGUCGGGUAGAGAAUACCAAGGCGCUUGAGAGAACUCGGGUGAAGSAACUAGGCAAAAUGGU
rnacentral:rRNA from 1 species